AUCUUAUACAGAAUUCAAAUUUUACCAACUUCCUUUGCUUCAAAAUACAACAUUUCAUUUUCUUCUUCAAAAUCAAAAAAAAAGUAGCUUGUUUUGCAAACAGAAAGAGCAGUCAACAACUGAAGUAUAUUCAUGGCAUACAUGUAAUAUCCAGUCAUAUUUAGGAGGUUUUAAUCAUGCAGUAUUUCAAAGGAAUAGUAUCACAGUAAGAGGUGUGGCAAAAUUGUUCUGUAUUGCUAGAGUUGAUAAAAGCAAAU